rnacentral:misc_RNA from 1 species
GAUGAAGAACGUAGCGAAAUGUGAUACUUGGUGUGAAUUGCAGAAUCCCGUGAACCAUCGAGUUUUUGAACGCAAGUUGCGCCCGAAGCCGUUCGGCUGAGGGCACGCCUGCCUGGGUGUCACACAUCGUUGCCCCAAUGCCAAUCGCCUCACUUUGUAGGUAUUUGCUUGGGGUGAAUGUUGGCCUCCCGUGAGCUUUGUCUCACGGUUGGUUGAAAAUCGAGUGCAUGGUGUCGGGUGUACCAUGAUGGAUGGUGGUUGAGUGAUGAUGCUCGAGACCAAUCAUGGGUAACUCCACCAGAAUUGGGCUCGGUGACCCACAUGCGUCCCUUGGAUGCUCCCUAAGGAGACCUCAGGUCAGGCGGGGCUACCCGCUGAGUUUAAGCAUAUCAAUAAGCGGAGGA